UCAAUGGUCUCAACGGCGUNNNNNNNNNNNNNNNNNNNNNNNNNCCUACCCCGGGCGCCCGGCCUUCCCCCUGCAGAGCUUUGGCCUGGAGCCCCUGGACGCGGCCCCCCGGCCCUUCCCCCUCGGCUCCCCCGCCAGCCUCCCCUUCCCCCCACCGGACGAGAUGGUGCCAUCUGCUGCCCCCAGCCCACUGGGGAAGCCUCCGGUCCCCGCCACGCUGCCCCCUGAGGGGGCCCCCGCCUGGAGCAGCCGCACCUGCCCACUGCCCGCAGGCGCCUCCCUCGGCAGGCUGGCAGCCUCCACCACGCUCUCCUCCGUCUCAUCGCCAGGGGGCAGCGCCGAGUUGUCCCCCCAGUGCUCCCGCCCCUCCUCCACCUCCUCCGAGCCUGGGGGGCCCCCGCUGGCUCCCCAGCCCCCUGCAGGGCCCCCCCAGCCCUGCAAGGACGAGGCGCCCCCCAGCAAUGCCUUAGCCAACCAAAGCAGCAAUAACCCACCAGUGCCCUUAGGCGCCAUGCCCGAGGGCAAGGGGCCACCUGGCUUCCUGGGCCUGCCCCUGAGCCAGCUGCUUCAGCAGCCGGGUGCCCCCUCCUUCCCUGCCAGCAGCCUGCUGAGCGCAGCUGCCAAGGCCCAGCUGGCCAGCCAGCAGCGCGCUGACGAGCCCCCCUCUAGCACUUUACCCGGGCGCCUGCUGGGCUCCAACGUGCUGCUCUCCGUGGUGGGCGGGCGGGCGCUGCCCAAGCCCCGGCGCCAGCGCCGCGCACCCACCGUGCUGCGCCUGCUGAAGGACUCGCAGCAGGGCCCUGCCGGGCCAGAGGAGGCCCCCGCCCACCGGGCCUGGCCCAGAGAGCAGCCCCCUCGGCCGCCCCCGGGGGGCGCCCCACCACCCGGAGAGGCCAAGGGCAGCCCCCUGGCCCCUCUCGCCCCCAGCCAGCCGCUGUCGUCCCUGCUGAGCCUGCUGGGCACCCAGCCCCCUGGCCUGCCCCCGUUGCCCCUGGGUGACAGCCCCCCCAGCCUCCUGCCCUCCUUCCAGGACUUCAACAGCCAGCUCCUCAGCCUCUUCAGCCAGCUGGCCUCCGCCUCCUCUGACCUGGCCUCAGGGAGCACCCCCCAGCCGAAAGCGCCCGCCCCCAGCAGCACCGCAGGUGCCACCGUCUUGCCAGCCGCCACCAAAGCAGCCUCGGGCUCUGGCCCCUGCAGUGGCGCCGGGGAGGGCAGCCUGGGGGGCCAGCGGGGCCUGCCGCCCCCGGCCCCCGAGCCCUUCCCCUUCCUGGGCCAGGAGCAAGUGCUGCCCUUCGGAGGCUCCCUGCCCCCUGGCCUCCUCCAGGGCGGCUUCCUCGGCUCCUUACCCUUCUCCCUGGCCCUGAGCCAGCCACAGCUGCUGGGCUGCCCGGGGCAGGGGGAGGCACCACUGCCCGCCCUGGGCCUGCCGGGCGAGCCCGAGGGGCAGGUGCUGCAGACUCUGCUCAUGGCCUCGCUGCUGCAGAGCCAGCCUCAGUCGCCCCUGCUGCCCCUGGGGGGCCUCGGCCUGCCUGGCUUGGACCUGCUCCAGCAGCCCAGCAGCCUCCUCCCGGCCCUGCUGCCCCUGCCGGACCCGCCCUGCCAGGGGGACCUCCCGGAUGGGCCCCUGCAGCCCCUGCUCUUCCCGGCGCUGCCCGCCUCGCCCGCCGUCUUAGCUUUAAACUCGGCUCUGCUGGCAGCCGGCCUGGCAGCCCCCGACACCCAGCCUGGCAUCGCCGGCUCCCCCAUGGCACCUACCUCGACUGGCACGAUGCCCACGACUACUGAGGCCCCCGAGCCCCCUGGCGCCUUUGGCAGUGCCCCAGUGCCCCCCAGCUCCUCCGGGAGGCUCCACCCGCUGCUGCCCCCGCUGGUCAGCCCGCUGCUGAGUGCCGCGCUGCUGGGUGACCUGUCGGCGCUGGGCCCUCUGGGGGCCGCCGGGGGCCCCAUGCUCCAGAGCCAGCCGCAGUUGCUGCCUCCUGCCCUCCCAGCGCCCCUGGGCUUCCAGCUCUUCCAGGCCCAGCCCCCCGUCCUGAGCCCACUGGGCAGCUCCAGCCCCCUGGCCUGCCUCCUGCAGCUCAGCCCCGGGUUCAGCGCCCCUGAGAAGCCAGCGCCGGCACCAAGCGAAGGCCCCUCCCCGAACCCGCCCAGCGUCCCGGAGCCCGAGCCGCCAGCCCCCUUCACCCCCUUCUGCACGGACGCUGCCCCUCCUGCGCUGCCAAGUGCCUUAGACUCCCCUGCAGUGCCCAGGGCCACAGACUGCCCGGCCACAAGCCCCCUGGAGCCAGCCGGGCCGGGCCAGCAGGGAGCGCUGGGCUUUGCCACCCCCGUGGGGCAGCUGGAGAGAGGCGCCGCAGGACCCCCCUGCUGCAGGACCCCCCUGAAACGGGCCCGGCACAGCGGGGAGGGGCUGAAUGGCAACAUCCCCCCCCGGGCAACGCCCCGCAGAACGAAGAGCGCCUGCCGUGGGGCCAGGCGAGGCCGUGGGGCCUGGGGGAGCCGGCGGCACUUCAAUGGGCAGGCGGGUGAGCCGGGCGAGAAGGCAGCACCCUCGGGGCACCUGCCCCACCCGGCCUGGAGAUGCAACGGUGAGAUCCCGGUGCCAGGCACGGCCAGCCCGCUGGCCCCCAGCAAAGCAGAGGAGAUAAAGGGGAACCCUGGGAGGCUGCGCCCAUCACGCCGGGGCCGGAGGAGGAAGGUCAGUGCCCCCCGGCCUAGCACCCGCCUGGAGACACCACGAGCGAGGGGCCCAACCGCUGAGCCAGGCUCCGUCCCCACUGAGGACGGUCCCCCCGGGCGGCGCCCCCGACCUGGCCGCCCUGCCAAGAACCGCCGCAGGAAGCUGGUGACGUAGCCUUGGCCCAGAGGUACCCGGGGAGGUGAAGCCGAGCAAGGCCCGGCCACCCACAGCCAGGAACGAGCCCCCACUGGGGGUGCCCUGUGGACAGUGGGGGGGCCCAGAGCAGGUGCCGUUGCUGGCAAUGGGCACUUCCCUCUCCGCCCAGCAGGAGGCAGUGCUGGGCCAUGGCCUGCCAAAGCACUUCUGAAGCCAUUCUGCAAUACAGUGAAAUGCCAGGGAGGUGUGGCAGCGCUACGGGGGGGCACGAGCCUGUGCUGCCCCCAGACUGGGGCUAGGGCUCCCAACUGCUGCCAUUCUGCCCCCCCCCUCGGUAGCAAGGCUGGGGGGGAGGGCUCCUCCCCUACCUCAGGCCUGCGGGUCUCAGCAGGGCCAGGAAUGCCUCAGGGGUUAGCUUACCGCACGUCCCGCUCACCAAAAACCUCCCUGUGCCCCUCGCCGGGGGGCAAUGGUACAAAGCAAUAAGCGUGGCCCCAGCCCAGGCACAGGCAGAGCCCGGGGGUGCCUGGCCUGGGACGCCGGCUGGGGCAUGGGGCGAUCCAGGCCCCAGCCCCCUUUCUCCUUGUUUUGAACUCCUCCGAGAACACUCAGGUCUGGUGGCUGGCGGGGCCCGGCCGCAGCGCCAGCGCCACCCACCCACCCACACUACGGGCUCCCAGGCUGCUGGUGGGAAUUAUGCAAAGCGGGGGCUGGGCCCUGCCCCCCCUCACCGACAGGGGCCUUGCUUUUGUAGAUGCUGGAACUGGCGCUUUUCCAUGGGAGUCACUUAAUUUAACAGCUGGGGGCCAAGCGCCGCUGGCUCUUCCGCGGGGAUUUGGGGUGUUUUGUAUCAAUUUAUUAAAAUGUGUAUUUAAAA
rnacentral:lncRNA from 1 species